rnacentral:lncRNA from 1 species
AGCACCUCAGCGAUGUAACCCUCCUAUAAUGCUAGAGCUCUUUCCAGGCAGAGUGUGAUUUAUUGCUAGUGAAGCACUCAGCACCUGAGUGAUUUGACUCUCCUGCCUUGGCCCAGUCCACAGAUAGCAUUAUGACAUGUUGCUGAACCCGGCACCUAGGAGAUGUGACUUUAUUUUCCUGCCUUGGUACUGCCCACAGUUGUGUCCACAGGAGCGAUUUUGAUGUAUUGCUGGGCCGAACACAAAGGUGAUGUAAGUUUUCUGCCUUGGCCCUACCAAAAGAAAGCAUUGGGACAUAUUGGUGGACCCAGAACCAAGGUGCUGUGAGUCUCCUACCUGGAUCCUGGCUGCAGGAAGCAUUGUGCCAUAUCUCUGCACUCAUCAACUAUUUGGUGGAGUGCUCUUCUCUUGCUUGGGCUUAUCCCAUUGGAGAUAUUGUGAUGUAUCUCUGGGCCCAUCGCCUAGAUUACAUGGCACUCGUUUUCUUCCUGGGACCUAUCCACAGUGAAGAUUGUGACAUAUCGGUAGACCCAGCACCUACAUGAUGUGACUUUCUUCUCAUACUGGGGUCAUGCCCACUGUGGUGAUUGUGACAUAUAACUGGGCCCAAACCCUUGGUUUUGUGACUCUCCUUUUUUUCUGAGCCCUACAC